rnacentral:rRNA from 1 species
AAAAAAGCAGAGAUUACACCUCGUACCUUUUGCAUCAUGAUUUAGCAAGCACACCCGAGCAAAAAGAAUUUUAGUUCGGCCCCCCGAAACCAAGUGAGCUACUCCAAGGCAACCUGAAAAAAGGGUUAACCCGUCUCUGUAGCAAAAGAGUGGGAAGACCUUCGAGUAGCGGUGACAGACCAAUCGAACUUGGUUAUAGCUGGUUGCUUGAGAAGAGAAUAAAAGUUCUGCCUCUCGUAUUCUACCCCCCACUUCAGCCCAUUACUGAGCCCCGCAAGAUAAAAGAAAACAAGAGAGUUAGUCAAAGGAGGUACAGCCCCUUUGAAACAAAAUACAACUUUUUCCAGAAGGGUUAAGAUCAUAAUACUUUAAGGUGACUAUAUUCCGGUGGGCCUGAAAGCAGCCAUCCCGUCAGAAAGCGUUAAAGCUCUAUUAUACUCUCCACCCCCAAUCCCGAUAACAAAUCUAAGCCCUCUACCCCUAUCAAGCCAUUCCACAAAACCAUGGAAGAGAUUAUGCUAAAAUGAGUAAUCAGAGAAAAGUCCACCUCUCUCUUUGUACAUGUGUAAAUCGGAUCGGACCCUCCACCGAAACUUAACGGACCCAAACAACAGAGGGUACUGAAUAAUAAAUAAUUAACAAGAAAAUUAUUCAAAACAUCACCGUUAACCCUACACUGGUGUACUUCAAAAGAAAGACUAAGAGGAAAAGAAGGAACUCGGCAAAACACCCCAAGCCUCGCCUGUUUACCAAAAACAUCGCCUCUUGCUAAUCCCGUAUAAGAGGUCCCGCCUGCCCAGUGACCCCAAGUUCAACGGCCGCGGUAUUUUGACCGCGCGAAGGUAGCGUAAUCACUUGUCCCUUAAAUGAGGGCCUGUAUGAAUGGCAUAACGAGGGCUUAACUGUCUCCUUUUCCCGGUCAAUGAAAUUGAUCUUCCCGUGCAGAAGCGGGAAUCCACACAUAAGACGAGAAGACCCUAUGGAGCUUUAGACUCUACAACAGACCAUUUCAAUUACUCCCACUAAACACAGUAACAAUUAUUGAACCCUGUUCCCUGUCUUCGGUUGGGGCGACCACGGGGAAUAAAAAAUCCCCCACGUGGAUCAGAAGUACCUCUCCCCGAUUUACUUCCACAACUAUGAGCCACAGCUCUAAUGCACAGAAUCUCUGACCUUGAGAUCCGGCAAAGCCGAUCAACGGACCAAGUUACCCUAGGGAUAACAGCGCAAUCCCCUUUAAGAGUCCCUAUCGCCAAGGGGGUUUACGACCUCGAUGUUGGAUCAAGACAUCCUAAUGGUGCAACCGCUAUUAAGGGUUCGUUUGUUCAACGAUUAAAGUCUU